GAGGAAUAAGCAUCGGCUAACUCCGUGCCAGCAGCCGCGGUAAUACGGGGGAUGCAAGCGUUAUCCGGAAUCAUUGGGCGUAAAGCGCCUGUAGGUUGUUUAAUAAGUCUGUUGUUAAAGACUAGGGCUCAACCCUAGAAAAGCAAUGGAAACUACUAGACUAGAGUAUGGCAGGGGUAGAGGGAAUUUCUAGUGUAGCGGUGAAAUGCGUAGAUAUUAGAAAGAACACCGGUGGCGAAAGCGCUCUACUGGACCAUUACUGACACUCAGAGGCGAAAGCUAGGGUAGCAAAAGGGAUUAGAUACCCCUGUAGUCCUAGCCGUAAACGAUGGAUACUAGAUGUUGUGCGUAAAGUACAGUGUCCUAGCUAACGCGUUAAGUAUCCCGCCUGGGGAGUACGCUCGCAAGGGUGAAACUCAAAGGAAUUGACGGGGGCCCGCACAAGCGGUGGAGCAUGUGGUUUAAUUCGAUGCAACGCGAAGAACCUUACCAGGGCUUGACAUACUACGAAUUCUUUUGAGAAAAAGAAGUGCCUUCGGGAAUGUAGAUACAGGUGGUGCAUGGCUGUCGUCAGCUCGUGUCGUGAGAUGUUGGGUUAAGUCCCGCAACGAGCGCAACCCUUAUUUUUAGUUACUAAUUCGUUAGGUUCUCUAGAAAGACUGCCGGUGACAAACCGGAGGAAGGUGAGGAUGACGUCAAGUCAGCAUGCCCCUUAUGCCCUGGGCUACACACGUGCUACAAUGGUUAAGACAAAGAGUCGCGAGCUCGCAAGAGUCAGCUAAUCUCAUAAACUUAGCCUAAGUUCAGAUUGUAGGCUGCAACUCGCCUACGUGAAG
rnacentral:rRNA from 1 species